rnacentral:guide_RNA from 1 species
AUACAAAUCAGACAAACAAGGUAAUAGAGAGUUAGAAAUUGAUGUUAAUUAU